UCCAAAGGUCAGAACUGAGGGGAAGAGAAUAGGAUAAGAUAGGAUCUGUAUUCUGUCUUCUGUCCUCUGAGUUCUGGUCUCUGGAUAGUGGCGGACGGGUGAGUAACGCGUGAGCAACCUGCCUUUCAGAGGGGGAUAACGUCCGGAAACGGACGCUAAUACCGCAUAAGAUCAUAGGACGACAUCGUCCAGUGAUCAAAGGAGCAAUCCGCUGAAAGAUGGGCUCGCGUCCGAUUAGCUAGAUGGCGGGGUAAAGGCCCACCAUGGCGACGAUCGGUAGCCGGAUUGAGAGGUUGAACGGCCACAUUGGGACUGAGACACGGCCCAGACUCCUACGGGAGGCAGCAGUGGGGGAUAUUGCACAAUGGGGGAAACCCUGAUGCAGCAACGCCGCGUGAGGGAAGAAGGUCUUCGGAUUGUAAACCUUUGUCUUUGGUGAAGAAAAAAAUGACGGUAGCCAAGGAGGAAGCUCCGGCUAACUACGUGCCAGCAGCCGCGGUAAUACGUAGGGAGCGAGCGUUGUCCGGAAUUACUGGGUGUAAAGGGUGCGCAGGCGGGAAAGCAAGUCAGCUGUGAAAAGUGUGGGCUCAACCCACAUCGUGCAGUUGAAACUGUUUUUCUUGAGUGAAGCAGAGGCAGGCGGAAUUCCGAGUGUAGCGGUGAAAUGCGUAGAUAUUCGGAGGAACACCAGUGGCGAAGGCGGCCUGCUGGGCUUUAACUGACGCUGAGGCACGAAAGCAUGGGGAGCAAACAGGAUUAGAUACCCUGGUAGUCCAUGCUGUAAACGAUGAUUGCUAGGUGUGGGGGGACUGACCCCCUCCGUGCCGGAGUUAACACAAUAAGCAAUCCACCUGGGGAGUACGAUCGCAAGGUUGGAAACUCAAAGGAAUUGACGGGGGGCCCGCACAAGCAGUGGAGUAUGUGGGUUUAAUUCGAAGCACGGCGAAGACC
rnacentral:rRNA from 1 species